AUUGAACGCUGGCGGCAUGCCUUACACAUGCAAGUCGAACGGUAACAGGUCUUCGGAUGCUGACGAGUGGCGAACGGGGGAGUAUUACAUCGGAACGUGCCCGAUCUGGGGGAUUAACGGGGCGAAAGCUUUCUUAAUACCGCAUACGACCUACGGAGGAAAGCGGGGAAUCUUCGGACCUCCCCGGGCGGGAGCGGCCGAGGGCAGAUUAGGUAGUUGGUGGGAUAAAAGCUUACCAAGCCGACGAUCUGUAGCUGGUCUGAGAGGAUGAUCAGCCACACUGGGACUGAGACACGGCCCAGACUCCUACGGGAGGCAGCAGUGGGGAAUUUUGGACAAUGGGCGAAAGCCUGAUCCAGCCAUGCCGCGUGCAGGAUGAAGGCCUUCGGGUUGUAAACUGCUUUUGUACGGAACGAAAAGCCUCUUUCUAAUAAAGAGGGGUCAUGACGGUACCGUAAGAAUAAGCACCGGCUAACUACGUG
rnacentral:rRNA from 1 species